AUUAAUAAUCCAACGCAAUAAUUACGUCAGUUUCUUGCGUGGGUUUCUGUUGCCUUUAAAGACAAGCAUGCACAUAAUGCUGUUUGUCUUAAGAACUAAUUUUAUUCCUGUUUCUGGAGGAGUUUUUGUUCCCAUUUCUAGUUUUAAAUUGUUCUUGCGUCGUAUCAAAAGUUGUUUGUGACAGCUUUUUACUCUCUUCUGUUUUUUCCUUUGGGUCACUCAUCUCUAAUCUUCUACAUCUAUUCCGAGCGUAAGCCUUGCUUAAAUCCAUAGGAAACAGUCUUAAUUCGUCCUACCCACAAAUGAAAUUAUUUAUAGAAGGGAUCUUUUUAACUAAUCAUGCGAAGACAAGUGCUUUGCAUUAGCUGCAAACGUUCGCACGUCAUAACUGUACGUAACACCCGACAGGUGGAAUUCGAGGAGAACCUUCUAUUUCAUUCUUAAAAUUUUUGAGAGUCCAUGUGUACUUAGCGAAGAAAACAAAACAAAACGGUGUUCAUUUUAGAAACGGAACAACUUGUUUCGGUUCAUUGACUACGCAGGCGACUGCCACGCUAAGCUGUUUCAUGGAUCAGCUCCUACGCAUCAAUUAAGUGUCAGCAGUUUUGUGUGUGUUGCAUAUGCUUCGCUCGCUGCAUUUGUUAAUUUUUCCGUAAUGAAAGUUUCUUUCCGAAGCAAGUCUGUGCAUUGCCUUGCCAGAAAAGAAGUUGUUGGGAUUUUACAAAAAUAUUAUUGUCUUGAUGGAUCAUGAAAAGAAGCAGCCGACGGAAAUAAAUGCAUCGGCGAUUUAGUCAUCGAGGAUAAAGACACAGAAAGCAAGAUGGAAAUCGAGAACCGAGAAGAAGAGGCCGGCUUAGUUACUAAACAUGCAGGUUUUCAAUAUGGGCUAAGCCCUUUCGCUAUCAAGAUCUAAGGGCUUAUUCUCCUUACUAAUUUCCACAUAUUUGUUUGCUGGUGGCUAAUGAGAAUUUGGUUUUACAUAAGGUCGAAUUGACGAAACAUUUUUCGAAUUCUCAUUACCUCAAAGGUCUGGUCUAAAUGGUGUUUGAAAAAUAUUAAGAAUGAUAUAUUUGAUAAAGACUCAGAGCAGCAAGAGGAAAAGUAGUGAAAUAGCAGUGAAACCCUGCAGUUUCUCGCUGUGAUUGAAGAAGGAUAUCAACUAGUUAUGCAAGAAAAAAUAAUUUUACGAAAGCAUUUUAAUAGUUGAGAACAUUUGUUUAAGUAACAACUAGUGUCACCUUUGAUUUGAGCUAUAGAUCAUCCAUACUGUUUAAACUGAACUAUCCCCAAGCAAGAUAUCAUGGUAUCGAAUCCAAAAUAUAAAGAAUCACCUAACAAUAA